AGCAGCCGCGGUAAUUCCAGCCCCAAUAGCGUAUAUUAAAGUUGUUGCAGUUAAAAAGCUCGUAGUUGAAUUUCGGGGUCUGUCCGUCGGUCGGGCUUCACGGUCCGUACUGGUGUGAUGGGUUCCUACCUUCUGAAUAACCGGCAUGCCAUUCAGUUGGUGCGCCGGGGGAGCAGAGCUAUUACCUUGAAAAAAUUAGAGUGCUUAAAGCAGGCUAGUGCUUGAAUAGAUUAGCAUGGAAUAAUAAAAUAGGACGGCAUGGUUCUAUUUUGUUGGUUUCUAGGAUCACCGUAAUGAUUAAUAGGGAUAGUUGGGGGCACUAGUAUUCAAUUGUCAGAGGUGAAAUUCUUGGAUUUAUUGAAGACUAACUUCUGCGAAAGCAUUUGCCAAGGAUGUUUUCAUUAAUCAAGAACGAAAGUUAGGGGAUCGAAGACGAUCAGAUACCGUCGUAGUCUUAACCAUAAACUAUGCCGACUAGGGAUCGGACGAUGUUAAUUUUUUAAUGACUCGUUCGGCGCCU
rnacentral:rRNA from 1 species